GUUGAUGCUGUGUUCAAAUACUUUGACCAUUCAAUCUAGUGCUGCUUCUUCCUUGCUCUUCCUCCCCCACCGACCCUUCCACUUUCUUUUCUCAUAAAAGCAAUUUAUUCAUUGCAAGCGUCUAAAAGCGCCCCAGGGCUUUGGUCUAGUGGUACAAAAGCUAGAUAUUUAAGCGGAGAAGGAUUGAGGGGCGGGCUCAUUAUCUACCGAGUUCCGAACUUUGCACCACUUGGCCCCCGGGGAUUUCUUGGCUAUCCUAAAAAAGCAAGGGCCUAAAAUCAUAAGGCACCCGGUAGAGGAUCUCUUAAUACAACCAGAAAUGGUUCGACCCUAUUUUGGAAAUGGAAGCAGUUAAUUCACUACCAAGAGUCAAUAUGGCUGCAUCCAUUUUAAUUCUGACACCUCUUUGAAUUCAGAACUCUCGAACCGUAACUCAUUUCUCACCUCCUGCAUUCCAAAUUUAUAUGCCUGGAACUUGUUUCUUCAGUUGCAUUUUUCUUGCUGGUGCUUUCGUGUGGUGUUCAUUUCUUUUUCUGCUCUGGCAUCAAGUAUUAAAUACUUAUGCUUCAUCUUAUUCAAUUAUAUUCUCACUUUUAUGGUUACUUUUGAGAAAUGCUCAUUAUGCUUGUCCCCCUAAAACUGUUUUUAGACUUGCACUUGAUACAGUUACUUAUCAAGAUGUAUUCUAUAGUCUCUGGUGGCCUUUUUCCUUUUUUGAUUUGAUACCAGAAUGCUAGUAUAGCUUAUCCAUGAAAUUGUCGUGAUAAAAAUUACUAAAAUUAAUAUUCUUUUUUUUUUGUGUGGCUAUUUUCAUGUUUUGAAAAGUUCCUGAUAAGCCUUUUCUGCCCCUUCUAAUACAGUUACAUGCCACUAUAAUGAAUGCGCGACACAGCAGAAGCAAAAAUAGAUCAGGAAAUGCUGAUUCCUUUGAUGCACGAGCAAUUUUUGCUCAGUAUGGCUCGGAAGAAUGGGGAGAGUGUCUUUUACGUGAAGCUCAUCUUUCACAAAGGUUUGUGUAUGGUGACAAUGGCUAUUACCAUUGCUGUGAAUCCAUCCCAUUUCCUGAAGGGAUGUAGCCAUGUAGGGUGUGUUUGGUAUGAAGAAAAACAUCUUCAAAAAAAUGUUUCCUAUGGGAAAAUGAGUGUGUUUCUCUCAUAUUUUCUUGUGUUUGGUAAGCAAGCAUGUGUCAUGUAUACUAGUUGGUGAAGACAUUAUAUAUGAUUUCUCGUUAAUCUGCUAUUUUAGUAACAAUUUUAGUUGUUACUAAAAUUCUAUUGUAUUGUAUUGUUAAAUUCGUUGGUAUGUAAUAACGAAAAGACCCAUUUUAUGUAACAGACUCAUUUGGUGUGA